UGGGGAAUAUUGGGCAAUGGGCGAAAGCCUGACCCAGCAACGCCGCGUGAAGGAUGAAGGUCUUCGGAUUGUAAACUUCUUUGAUUAGGGAAGAAUUUUUGACCUACCUAAAGAACAAGUCACGGCUAACUACGUGCCAGCAGCCGCGGUAAUACGUAGGUGACAAGCGUUAUCCGGAUUUACUGGGUGUAAAGGGCGUGUAGGCGGUUUUGCAAGUCAGAUGUGAAAUUCCCAGGCUUAACCUGGGCGCUGCAUCUGAAACUGCAAGACUUGAGUACUGGAGAGGAUAGUGGAAUUCCUAGUGUAGCGGUAAAAUGCGCAGAUAUUAGGAGGAACACCGGUGGCGAAGGCGACUAUCUGGACAGUAACUGACGCUGAGGCGCGAAAGCGUGGGGAGCAAACA
rnacentral:rRNA from 1 species